GACGAACGCUGGCGGCGUGCUUAACACAUGCAAGUCGAACGGUGAAGCGCCUUCCUUUUUGGUGGGUGUGGAUGAGUGGCGAACGGGUGAGUAACACGUGAGUAACCUGCCCCCUUCUUCUGGAUAACCGCAUGAAAGUGUGGCUAAUACGGGAUAUUCUGGGUCUGUCGCAUGAUGGGUCUGGGAAAGAUAUUGUUUCGGUGGGGGAUGGGCUCGCGGCCUAUCAGCUUGUUGGUGGGGUGAUGGCCUACCAAGGCGGUGACGGGUAGCCGGCCUGGGAGGUAUGACGGUCCCACUGGGACUGAGACACGGACCAGUCUCCGACGGGCGGCAGCAGUGGAGAAUGUUGCACAAUGGGCGCAAGCCUGAUGCAGCGACGCCGCGUGAGAGAUGGAGGCCUUCGGGUUGUGAACCUCUUUCGCCAGUGAAGCAGGCCUGCCUCGUUUGUGGGUGGGUUGACGGUAGCUGGAUAAGAAGCACCGGCUAACUACGUG
rnacentral:rRNA from 1 species